UGUUUGUGUGCCUCAGCCUAGACUCGAACUGUGCGUAACCUAUCAGGUAUAAUUCGUAGCAGUUCUUGUGUGUGACCUAUCAGGUAUAAUUCGUAACAGUUUUUGGCGACCCAGAUGGGACUCUAGGCUCGCCCCGACGAGUGAGACCACACUCCUCCUCUCGGACAGCUCCAGCCGGCACAGGGUGAGUUCACCUUUGAGAACUCUGAGGAGCGGGUGUGUGGGCCAUCGCUUAGGCAAUAAGGUGGCACAUUUGGUGUCCUUUUGGUAGCCCAUUAUGGGUUCUGGGCAGAGUGUAAGUAGGGGGACCCCUUUGGCUGAAAUUCUCGAGAAUUGGAGGAAUAUUUCUGGUACCCAUGGGUUAGGUAAAAGGAAAGCUGUAAUCUUGUUAUCAAGGUUGAGUGGCCAGCACUAACAACUCAAACACCUCUUGAAUAGCCACCGGAUGGGUCCUUUGCUGGGGACAAAUUAACAGCACUUAGGAAAAGGCUGGAGGACAAAGCUCCAGCCCAGAUGGAUUAUUGGUGAAAGAUGUCCUGCUCCAAGGAUCCUGAGCAAACCUGCCAUUUGUUAAAACCAGGUGACUGGAUCUACAUAAAGGCCCAUCAACGAAAGACUACUCUGGCCCCAUGCUGGAAAGGCCCUUAUUAAGUCCUGCUAACUACCACCACCACUGUGAAGUGCCAAGGACUGACUGCCUGGACCCAGGCUUCUUACUGCAAAAAGACCCCUCCACCUCAAGAUGACUUCACUUCGACUAUUGAUCAGCCUGUCUGUCCUUCUGGGUUUUUUCUUUCCUCCUUUUGUACAACAGGGGAAAGGACAAGGUGAAGUGCUAGUAAUCUCUCCCUUGUUCACUGAAAGAGCUAAUUUGCAUUCAGUAUUUGCUAAAGAAACCAAAGCACUAUAGGGUGAUGUGCUAGUAACCUCUCCCCUGUAUAAUGCAAAACCACGACUGUUCCAAGA